AAUUUCAAAGCAAAACAUGUGGUAAAAUAUUUAAUAACAUAAAUAACAUAAUAUUUCACCAAUGUAAAUGUAGACAGAACUCAAGAGCAGCAUUAACAACCAUUAUCCCUACCAAAUUUGAGAGGGGAAUGUGUCUUAGAGUCGGAAAUGGGGCUGCAGAA